rnacentral:rRNA from 1 species
GACGAACGCUGGCGGCGUGCUUAACACAUGCAAGUCGAACGGAAAGGCCCUGCUUUUGUGGGGUGCUCGAGUGGCGAACGGGUGAGUAACACGUGAGUAACCUGCCCUUGACUUUGGGAUAACUUCAGGAAACUGGGGCUACUACCGGAUAGGAGCUCCUGCUGCAUGGGGGGGGUUGGAAAGUUUCGGCGGUUGGGGAUGGACUCGCGGCUUAUCAGCUUGUUGGUGGGGUAGUGGCUUACCAAGGCUUUGGCGGGUAGCCGGCCUGAGAGGGUGGCCGGGCACAUUGGGACUGAGGUACGGCCCAGACUCCUACGGGAGGCAGCAGGGGGGAAUAUUGCACAAUGGGCGGGAGCCUGAUGCGGCAGCGCCGCGUGCGGGAUGACGGCCUUCGGGUUAUAAACCGCUUUCGCCUGUGACGAAGCGUGAGUGACGGUAAUGGGUAAAGAAGCACCGGCUAACUACGUG